GACUGAACUUGGUUCCUCUCUAAGAAAU
rnacentral:piRNA from 1 species